UACGGAGGGUGCGAGCGUUGUCCGGAAUCACUGGGCGUAAAGGGCGCGUAGGCGGCCUGAUAAGUAGGGGGUGAAAUCCUGCGGCUUAACCGCAGGGCUGCCUUCUAAACUGUCAGGCUAGAGCACAGUAGAGGCAGGUGGAAUUCCCGGUGUAGCGGUGAAAUGCGUAGAUAUCGAGAGGAACACCUGCGGCGAAGGCGGGUUGCUGGGCUGACACUGACGCUGAAGCGCGAAGGCUAGGGGAGCGAACGGG
rnacentral:rRNA from 1 species